rnacentral:tRNA from 1 species
GCCUCAGUGGUUAGUUAGAGCCUAGGGCUUGGGACCGAAAGGUCCCGGGUUCAAAUCUCGCAAGAGGCA